AUGGACGAGGAGUACGACGUGAUCGUGCUGGGCACGGGCCUUAAGGAGUGCAUCCUCAGCGGCCUCCUCUCCGUCGACGGCCUCAAGGUUUUGCACAUGGAUAGAAAUGACUACUAUGGAGGAGAUUCCACCUCCCUCAACUUGAACCAGCUCUGGAAGAAGUUCAGGGGGGAAGAAAAACCACCGGCGCAUUUAGGUGCGAGCAGAGACUACAAUGUAGACAUGGUUCCAAAGUUUAUGAUGGCGAAUGGGACUUUGGUUCGUACUCUCAUUCACACUGAUGUGACGAAAUAUCUGUCUUUCAAAGCUGUUGAUGGAAGCUAUGUCUUCAGCAAAGGGAAGAUUCACAAGGUUCCUGCCACUGACAUGGAGGCUCUAAAAUCCCCUUUAAUGGGCUUAUUUGAGAAACGUAGAGCAAGGAACUUCUUCAUUUAUGUCCAAGAUUACAAUGAUGCUGAUCCAAGAACACAUCAAGGAUUGGACCUUACAAGGAUGACAACUAGAGAAUUGAUUGCGAAACACGGAUUGAGUGACGAUACUAUAGAUUUCAUUGGCCAUGCGCUUGCUCUUCACAGGGAUGAUCGCUACCUAAGCGAGCCAGCAAUUGACACUGUUAAAAGAAUGAAACUCUAUUCUGAGUCUCUUGCACGGUUCCAAGGAGGCUCACCUUAUAUUUACCCAUUGUAUGGGUUGGGUGAGCUGCCACAGGCUUUUGCACGUCUAAGUGCUGUUUAUGGUGGCACUUAUAUGUUAAAUAAGCCAGAGUGCAAGGUUGAAUUUGAUAUGGAGGGGAAAGUGUGUGGUGUUACAUCAGAAGGUGAAACUGCUAAGUGCAAGAAGGUUGUCUGUGAUCCUUCUUACUUGGCCAACAAGGUAAGGAAGAUUGGAAAAGUUGCACGAGCAAUUGCUAUUAUGAGCCACCCAAUUCCAAAUGCAAAUGAUUCCCACUCGAUUCAGAUUAUUUUACCACAAAAGCAACUUGGGCGCAAGUCAGACAUGUAUGUCUUCUGUUGCUCGUACACUCACAAUGUCGCGCCAAAAGGGAAGUUCAUUGCAUUUGUGUCUGCCGAAGCGGAGACUGAUAAUCCACAGUCCGAACUAAAGCCUGGAAUUGAUCUACUUGGUCCAGUAGAUGAAUUGUUUUUCGAUAUGUAUGACAGAUAUGAACCAGUCAAUGAACCUUCUCUUGAUAAUUGCUUUGUCUCAUCGAGUUAUGAUGCCACUACUCACUUUGAGACGACUGUGACAGAUGUUCUUAAUAUGUACACACUGAUUACUGGAAAGACUGUUGAUCUUAGCGUUGAUCUCAGUGCUGCCAGCGCUGCAGAAGAGUACUAG
rnacentral:rRNA from 1 species